rnacentral:rRNA from 1 species
AGAGUUUGAUCCUGGCUCAGAUCGAACGCUGGCGGCAUGGCUAAAACAUGCAAGUCGAACGAGAAGCCACUUCGGUGGCGGACAGUGGCGAAAGGGCGAGUAACGUGUAUCUAAUGUACCCCCGAGUCCUGGAUAGCAGUGGGAAACCGCUGGUAACACAGGAUGACAUCGGUAGUCCGCAUGGCCGGCCGAUCAAAGUUUACGCUCGGGGAGCAGGAUACAUCCUAUCAGCUUGUUGGUGAGGUAACGGCUUACCAAGGCGAAGACGGGUAGCGGGUGUGAGAGCAUGACCCGCCGCAUCGGGACUGAGACACUGCCCGGACUCCUACGGGAGGCUGCAGUAACGAAUAUUCCGCAAUGCGCGAAAGCGUGACGGAGCAAUGCCGCGUGCGGGAUGAAGCCCCUUGGGGUGUAAACCGCUGUCAGGGUUUAGGAAUCAAUGACCAGACCCAAAGGAAGGACCGGCUAACUCUGUGCCAGCAGCCGCGGUAAU